rnacentral:rRNA from 1 species
AGCGAACGCUGGCGGCAGGCUUAACACAUGCAAGUCGAGCGGGCACUUCGGUGUCAGCGGCAGACGGGUGAGUAACACGUGGGAACGUACCCUUUGGUUCGGAAUAACGCUGGGAAACUAGCGCUAAUACCGGAUACGCCCUUUUGGGGAAAGGCUUGCUGCCGAAGGAUCGGCCCGCGUCUGAUUAGCUAGUUGAUGGGGUAAUGGCCUACCAAGGCGACGAUCAGUAGCUGGUCUGAGAGGAUGAUCAGCCACACUGGGACUGAGACACGGCCCAGACUCCUACGGGAGGCAGCAGUGGGGAAUAUUGGACAAUGGGCGCAAGCCUGAUCCAGCCAUGCCGCGUGAGUGAUGAAGGCCUUAGGGUUGUAAAGCUCUUUUGUCCGGGACGAUAAUGACGGUACCGGAAGAAUAAGCCCCGGCUAACUUCGUG